GCUGAUGCUGCUGUUCCCGCAGGAACGUCCUGGAGCUGAUCGAGUUCUUCGAGGAGGAGGAGAGGUUUUACCUGGUGUUCGAGAAGAUGAGAGGAGGCUCCAUCCUGACCCACAUCCACCGGAGACGCCACUUCAACGAGCUGGAGGCCAGCGUGGUGGUGCAGGAUAUCGCCAGCGCCCUGCACUUUUUGCACAACAAAGGAAUCGCGCACAGGGAUCUAAAACCAGAAAAUAUUCUGUGCAAGAGCCCAGACCAGGUGAGCGGGGAGCAGC